ensembl:lncRNA
AGAAUACUUAGGCUGACUGCUGCGUUUAUAAUUGAGGAAAAAGUGGGCCGGUCUUGGGCCUGAAAUUCCCGGGCUGAAAAGUGGCCCCACUCCGGCCCUGGUUGUUACAAUUAUGAAGAAUGAAGAAUGAGCAACACAAAAGCCACUGCAAUUCAGACAUAGAGGCCCAGGUUGGCAACACAAGACCGUGCGAACAAAACUCAGAUGCUCUUCCAGACAUGACCUGCCUUCUUCUCCCCAGCUGCACGAGGGAGUCACCUCAUCUCACACUCUGGCUCCUUCACAUUCACCUGACUGAGAUCUGAGCAAUGAGUCACCCUGGUUCGUGUCUCUCUCUCUGUCUCAUAUCACUUUCCCUAACACCAGGCAAAUGUUCUCAGUCCUUUAAUGCAUGUUAUUAAGUCUCGUCACCCCAUUCUCCAUCGGCUAGAGCUCUUCUUACAAGGGUCAGCCAGGUGCUUGCCUCAUGUCUGGU